rnacentral:rRNA from 1 species
UACAGAGGUCUCAAGCGUUGUUCGGAUUCAUUGGGCGUAAAGGGUGCGUAGGCGGCGCGGUAAGUCGGGUGUGAAAUCGUUGGAGCUUAACUCCGAAACUGCAUUCGAUACUGCCGUGCUUGAGGACUGGAGAGGAGACUGGAAUUUACGGUGUAGCGGUGAAAUGCGUAGAUAUCGUAAGGAAGACCAGUGGCGAAGGCGGGUCUCUGGACAGUUCCUGACGCUGAGGCACGAAGGUCAGGGGAGCAAACGGG